rnacentral:rRNA from 1 species
UACGUAGGGGGCGAGCGUUGUCCGGAGUUACUGGGCGUAAAGGGCGCGCAGGCGGUGCGGCGCGUCGGUCGUGAAAGCCCCCGGCUCAACCGGGGAGGGGCGGCCGAAACGGCUGGACUGGAGGGUGUCAGAGGGGGGUGGAAGUCCGGGUGGAGCGGUGAAAUGCGUAGAUAUCUGGAGGAACACCGAUGGCGAAGGCAGCCCCCUGGGCUAACACUGACGCUGAUGCACGAAAGCGUGGGGGAGCAAACAGG